CGCUGAAGGAAUACCUGCCAGAAUGUGCAGCAUUUCUGCUCUUGCAGGACGGAUAAAACAUCUCCCCUGCUGCAUACAUGCAGUCUGGAGCCAGCAGGGAUGGGGCCAGCAGCUCCAGAGGGCACGUUUAGGAGAAGGACAUCCCUGCUCCGAGGUACACAAAUACUGAGGGGUCACAACAAGGCUGGAGGAAAGUAACUUUGUGUUGUGGAGAGCUGACUGCAGUGCAGUGGGAGGCAGUGCCAAGAUCCUGAAAAAUCCAACCUAUCUGGCACGGUCUAAAAGGUCAUCUUUGGGGAAUCCGCUGCUGCUCCUCCUGAAACUUGAGGCCUGAUGAGAUGGAGCUGUGGCUCUGACAUGAGAAUACAAAGACUGUGGAAAAGAUUCAUUUUGACUGACCUGCCUUGAAUUCUAAAAAAGCAAAUUCCUGAGGUCGUCUGAAUUUGAGGGAUGUCUGCCUGAGAUUAUCAGCACCACAGUCAUCGGAACAAAACCAAGGUUUAUUAAACCCAGACAGAACAUGAAAUCCAAGAGAGAGAAUCAGUUUGCAUAACAAAUCUCAUGAGAUUUGCAUUU